ACUCUCCCAAGUAAACAUGAAUAAAAAAUUGAAUUUUCGGUUAUUAAAAACAAAAAACAUUAAACAAAGCAACGUUUGAUAUUUUCGAAAUACAAAAAUUAUGAUUGACUAUCGAUAUAAUCAUCGAUUGAUAACAAUCGUCAUAAUUUUAUUGUCAAUCAGGUGGGAAAAAACUUGAACAUUGAAGGAAAAAUGACAAUGAAAAAAUGUUCAAAAGAUGAUAGAGAAAAAUUAAUUUGUUGCAUGAUUUCUACGCAGGUUGUGUUUACGCGUAUAGCUGUGCCUCUCAACAUUUUGCAAGUGUUCAGUGGCACUCACCCAAUUGCGACCCCGCGCAGUCAUUUAGCACCCGAAAACUUCUUGGCUGGCAAAAACAAUGUAGAGGAAACCAUCGGCAUCUUUUUCAUGCUGAUAAAGUUGAGCCAUUGUCAAGCUACCGCUAGCCAUACUCCUCUGAUUAACUAAUAGGAAAAAUGCCUGGGUUGGAUGCAACUGCAGCCUGCGCCUAUUGGGGUAGCAAAGGAACAAAUUUUCAUUGAUUAUUAAGCGUGGUUAUAUUUCAGAUACGAAGAGAAAAUUGUAUUCGUUGUAAUUGCCUAAUGAUUUUGAUGAGUUCUGCAACAGUGAGAUGAUCAGGAACAAGGAAUUUAAAUUUAUCAAGUAACGGAAGUUGUUUUUCGCCAUAAAACCUCUCGACGAUUAUUGGAAUCUUGUUCGGAUGAUGUUCUCUGAUUAAUUCAACAUCGGCAACACGUUGAGCUAUAUUUUUAAGAAACAGAAACAUAAACAAUUGUAGUUAUCGUAGGUAAAAAGCCAGGAGUUAAAAAAAAAACAACAAACAAGAAUGUAGGAUUGAGCUUUUCAUUGAUCGAGCUAUUAAUUCCUUUGUAUUGAAAAUGGUCUGAUAUUGCGUCGCAAAAGACGUGUCACGUGUUCAAAUCAUCACUACUUCGAACUACGAUUUAUUUAUUUACUUUUAUAUCCAUUUUAUUUUUUUAACCGUGAAUAGAUACAUUGAUAUUGUAUCUAGAUGCACAAUACACUCACCAAAUGGACGCUUUUCUUUGAACGAUUUUGAAGUCGAACUCAUUUUUACGCUGUUUUUUUCGCUUUUGUAUUUGCAAAUACGCAGAAAUAUGAUACGGCUCGACAACUUAUGGGUUUGUUGAAGUUCUUCAAAUGAUUUUAAUUCUGAAAAAUGAUCCAACGAUGAUCGAUUGAUCCAACGAGUUACUUUGAACAACAAACAAGGUACUAUUGUUUUUGCUUUCAGCCAAACGAAAAAAUGGAAAAAACUUUU
rnacentral:misc_RNA from 1 species